rnacentral:rRNA from 1 species
GGCGUAAAGAGCUCGUAGGCGGUUUGUCGCGUCUGCUGUGAAAGCCCGGGGCUCAACCCCGGGUCUGCAGUGGGUACGGGCAGACUAGAGUGCAGUAGGGGAGACUGGAAUUCCUGGUGUAGCGGUGAAAUGCGCAGAUAUCAGGAGGAACACCGAUGGCGAAGGCAGGUCUCUGGGCUGUUACUGACGCUGAGGAGCGAAAGCAUGGGGAGCGAACAGGAUUAGAUACCCUGGUAGUCCAUGCCGUAAACGUUGGGCACUAGGUGUGGGGGACAUUCCACGUUCUCCGCGCCGUAGCUAACGCAUUAAGUGCCCCGCCUGGGGAGUACGGCCGCAAGGCUAAAACUCAAAGGAAUUGACGGGGGCCCGCACAAGCGGCGGAGCAUGCGGAUUAAUUCGAUGCAACGCGAAGAACCUUACCAAGGCUUGACAUUCACCGGAUCGCCCCAGAGAUGGGGUUUCCCUUCGGGGUCGGUGGACAGGUGGUGCAUGGUUGUCGUCAGCUCGUGUCGUGAGAUGUUGGGUUAAGUCCCGCAACGAGCGCAACCCUCGUUCUAUGUUGCCAGCACGUGAUGGUGGGGACUCAUAGGAGACUGCCGGGGUCAACUCGGAGGAAGGUGGGGAUGACGUCAAAUCAUCAUGCCCCUUAUGUCUUGGGCUUCACGCAUGCUACAAUGGCCGGUACAAAGGGUUGCGAUACUGUGAGGUGGAGCUAAUCCCAAAAAGCCGGUCUCAGUUCGGAUUGAGGUCUGCAACUCGACCUCAUGAAGUCGGAGUCGCUAGUAAUCGCAGAUCAGCAACGCUGCGGUGAAUACGUUCCCGGGCCUUGUACACACCGCCCGUCAAGUCACGAAAGUUGGUAACACCCGAAGCCGGUGGCCUAACCCCUUUGGGGAGGGAGCCGUCGAAG